rnacentral:rRNA from 1 species
GACGAACGCUGGCGGCGUGCUUAACACAUGCAAGUCGAACGGAAAGGCCCUGCUUUUGUGGGGUGCUCGAGUGGCGAACGGGUGAGUAACACGUGAGUAACCUGCCCUUGACUUUGGGAUAACUUCAGGAAACUGGGGCUAAUACCGGAUAGGAGCUCCUGCUGCAUGGUGGGGGUUGGAAAGUUUCGGCGGUUGGGGAUGGACUCGCGGCUUAUCAGCUUGUUGGUGGGGUAGUGGCUUACCAAGGCUUUGACGGGUAGCCGGCCUGAGAGGGUGACCGGCCACAUUGGGACUGAGAUACGGCCCAGACUCCUACGGGAGGCAGCAGUGGAGAAUAUUGCACAAUGGGCGGAAGCCUGAUGCAGCGACGCCGCGUGCGGGAUAACGGCCUUCGGGUUGUAAACCGCUUUCGCCUGUGACGAAGCGUGAGUGACGGUAAUGGGUAAAGAAGCACCGGCUAACUACGUG